GUUAUAUUAUUUUGAUGUUGAUCUUAGUUACCUUUCUCGAAGAACGCUAACACGCCUGCGCGCCCGCCGUGAUUCGAUACGAGAUUCAAAAACAGUUGCCACAAAAUAGUUAGCUUUGGUCGGACAUUUGCAAUUUCUAGAAUUUUCCGAUGCUUUCCUAUGAUUUUCGACGAUUUCGAAUGAAUUUCCAACAGAAUAGAGAAAAGAAGUAAUUCCACUUGGACAAAAUCAACUACAGCAACUUCUGAUGGAAAACAACAAAUUCCAGGUUAUCGGCAAAGCAAAACUUUCUGCUGAAAAUUAUUUCAAAGGACUCGGAAGAAAGAAAAUCAAGAUGAUGAAGAUCAGAAGGGUAGGAAAUACUAGAGCAAUGGACAAUUCAGCCACAUGAUAGCGAGAGAAAAUAAGUAAUUCCACUGGAACGAAAUCAACUACAGCAACUUAAGAUGGAAAACAAUAAAUUCCAGGCAAAGCAAGACUUUCCGCUGAAAAUUUUUUCAGGAGACCGGGAAGAAAAAAAAAUCAAGAUGAUGACGAUCAGAAGGGUAGGAAAUACUCGAGCAAUGGACAAUUCAGCCACAUGAUAGCGG